AGAGUUUGAUCCUGGCUCAGGACGAACGCUGGCGGCGUGCUUAACACAUGCAAGUCGAACGAUGAUCCGGUUUCGCCGGGGAUUAGUGGCGAACGGGUGAGUAACACGUGGGCAAUCUGCCCUGCACUCUGGGACAAGCCUUGGAAACGGGGUCUAAUACCGGAUAUUACUGCCAUGGGCAUCUGUGGUGGUGGAAAGCGUUUAGUGGUGCAGGAUGAGCCCGCGGCCUAUCAGCUUGUUGGUGGGGUGAUGGCCUACCAAGGCGACGACGGGUAGCCGGCCUGAGAGGGCGACCGGCCACACUGGGACUGAGACACGGCCCAGACUCCUACGGGAGGCAGCAGUGGGGAAUAUUGCACAAUGGGCGGAAGCCUGAUGCAGCGACGCCGCGUGAGGGAUGACGGCCUUCGGGUUGUAAACCUCUUUCAGCAGGGAAGAAGCGAGAGUGACGGUACCUGCAGAAGAAGCACCGGCUAACUACGUG
rnacentral:rRNA from 1 species